GCCCCAAUUCCUACGGGAGGCAGCAGUAGGGAUUUUCCGCAAUGGCGAAAGCCUGACGAACCACGCCGCUGAAUGAUGAAGGUUUCGGAUCGUAAAGUUCUGUGACAAGGAAGAACGUCUCAUAGAGUAACUGCUAUGAGAGUGACGGUACUUGAGAAGAAAGCCCCGGCUAACUACGUGCCAGCAGCCGCGGUAAUACGUAGGGGGCAAGCGUUGUCCGGAAUUAUUGGGCGUAAAGCGCGCGCAGGCGGUUCUUUAAGUCUGGUGUUUAAACCUGGGGCUCAACUUCAGGUCGCACUGGAAACUGGGGAACUUGAGUGCAGAAGAGGAGAGUGGAAUUCCACGUGUAGCGGUGAAAUGCGUAGAUAUGUGGAGGAACACCAGUGGCGAAGGUGACUUUUUGGGCUGUAACUGACGCUGAGGCGCGAAAGCGCGGGGAGCAAACAGGCUUAGAUACCCUGGUAGUCCACGCAGUAACCGAUGAAUGCUAGGUGUUCGGGGUUUCGAUACCCUUGGUGCCGAAGUUGUCACAUUAAGCAUUCCGCCUGGGGAGUACGGUCGCAAGACUGAAACUCAAAGGAAUUGAUGGGGACCCGCACAAGCAGUGGAGUAU
rnacentral:rRNA from 1 species